rnacentral:rRNA from 1 species
AGAGUUUGAUCCUGGCUCAGAUUGAACGCUGGCGGAAUGCUUUACACAUGCAAGCCGAACGGCAGCACGGGGCAACCUGGUGGCGAGUGGCGAACGGGUGAGUAAUACAUCGGAACGUGCCCAAUCGUGGGGGAUAACGUAGCGAAAGUUACGCUAAUACCGCAUACGAUCUACGGAUGAAAGCGGGGGAUCGCAAGACCUCGCGCGAGUGGAGCGGCCGAUGUCAGAUUAGGUAGUUGGUGGGGUAAAGGCUCACCAAGCCAACGAUCUGUAGCUGGUCUGAGAGGACGACCAGCCACACUGGAACUGAGACACGGUCCAGACUCCUACGGGAGGCAGCAGUGGGGAAUUUUGGACAAUGGGCGCAAGCCUGAUCCAGCCAUUCCGCGUGCAGGAUGAAGGCCUUCGGGUUGUAAACUGCUUUUGUACGGAACGAAACGGCGAGCUCUAAUACAGUUUGCUAAUGACGGUACCGUAAGAAUAAGCACCGGCUAACUACGUG